UGGGGAAUUUUGGACAAUGGGUGAGAGCCUGAUCCAGCCAUGCCGCGUGCAGGAAGAAGGCGUUAUGCGUUGUAAACUGCUUUUGCCAGGGGAUAAAAUGACCGUGCGCGGUUAAUUGAAGGUACCUGGUGAAUAAGCCACGGCUAACUACGUGCCAGCAGCCGCGGUAAUACGUAGGUGGCAAGCGUUGUCCGGAUUUAUUGGGUUUAAAGGGUGCGUAGGUGGCUAACUAAGUCAGUGGUGAAAUAUCUCAGCUUAACUGAGAGGGUGCCAUUGAUACUGGAUAGCUUGAGUACAGAUGAGGUAGGCGGAAUUGACGGUGUAGCGGUGAAAUGCAUAGAUAUCGUCAAGAACACCGAUAGCGAAGGCAGCUUACCAAGCUGUAACUGACACUGAGGCACGAAAGUGUGGGGAUCAAACAGGAUUAGAUACCCUCGUAGUCCCUGAGCGGGCUGGCAAGGCGCAU
rnacentral:rRNA from 1 species